AUGAAGGUGAUGCUGCAAUUUGAUUGCAGGAAAAAAAUCGGAAGACCUGAAAUCCACACUAACGACGAAGACGAAGGAUAUUGUUGUUUCUUCUCAGGGGAUGCGAUUAUUGAUGAAGAAGGAUAUGAGGAAUUGCAGAAGAUUGAUGAUGAUAGAAGCGAGGUGCAUCGAGAAAUGAAAUUGAAGGUUCUGUUUUGGGUGAUUUGUGUAGCAAGAUGCUAUGGAGAAGAUGGAACUCAGAGACAGAGAGAGGGAAAGAAAUAA